rnacentral:rRNA from 1 species
AUUGAACGCUGGCGGCAGGCUUAACACAUGCAAGUCGAGCGGGGGAGGGUAGCUUGCUACUGGACCUAGCGGCGGACGGGUGGGUAAUGCUUAGGAAUCUGCCUAUUAGUGGGGGACAACAUCUCGAAAGGGAUGCUAAUACCGCAUACGUCCUACGGGAGAAAGCAGGGGAUCUUCGGACCUUGCGCUAAUAGAUGAGCCUAAGUCGGAUUAGCUAGUUGGUGGGGUAAAGGCCUACCAAGGCGACGAUCUGUAGCGGGUCUGAGAGGAUGAUCCACCACACUGGGACUGAGACACGGCCCAGACUCCUACGGGAGGCAGCAGUGGGGAAUAUUGGACAAUGGGGGGAACCCUGAUCCAGCCAUGCCGCGUGUGUGAAGAAGGCCUUAUGGUUGUAAAGCACUUUAAGCGAGGAGGAGGCUACUCUAGUUAAUACCUAGGGAUAGUGGACGUUACUCGCAGAAUAAGCACCGGCUAACUCUGUGCCAGCCGCCGCCGUAA